rnacentral:rRNA from 1 species
UACGUAGGGGGCAAGCGUUGUCCGGAAUCAUUGGGCGUAAAGCGCGCGUAGGCGGCCCGGUAAGUCCGUUGUGAAAGUCAAAGGCUCAACCUUUGAACGCCGAUGGAUACUGCCGGGCUAGAGUCCGGAAGAGGCGAGUGGAAUUCCUGGUGUAGCGGUGGAAUGCGCAGAUAUCAGGAGGAACACCGGUGGCGAAGGCGGCUUCCUGGACCGACACUGACGCUGAGGCGCGAAAGCCAGGGGAGCGAACGGG